GAGAAGAUUUGACUGCACAAUAGAGGUGAAAUCUAAGGAUUUUAGAGGAAGUGUUAGAGAGAAGUUUUUUUGUGGUGAGCUAGCUAAGAUUUUGAUCAGGAAGAGUAGCAUAUGUUUGGGCUUCUGCUGGGAUGUGCGCAUGAGUGAAG